CAACAGCAAGACAAAUGCAGCCAGAAGAAAAAGAUUGACAAGUUGGAGAGGAGAUGGCAGAAGGAACUAAGGUCUCCAAGUGAAAUUAAAAAAAUGCUCGAAGCAAACAAUAGAUAGGGAGAUAUGGAAUCUGGUUUGAGCCUGAAGCAUCCAUUAUCUGUUGAAAGAAAUUUUGCUAUUAGGGACUAACAAUGCCACUUUUCAUAAUAGGGUUCAGCCUUAUCUUCUUGUUGUGGGAUGCAUGGGAAUUGGACUUUUCCAGAGGUAUGUUACACUCUGUGAGACUUCAUAGUUUUAUUCUCCAAUGUUGUUCUUCUAUCUUGGUUUUCUCUUUUGUUAUAAUAUAUGGCGUACAUUAUAUGUCGGGUCUUUUCUUAGAUUUAUGGAAAGAAACAUUCACUACUUUACGUCUGAAUUUUAUUGUUGAGAAUCCGUUUUUCAUUUUCUCUCAUAUAUGAAAAUCUAGAUCAUAAUUAUUUCCUUCUGCAUACCCACCUGCCCAAGUCACCAUUUUCAGAAACUGCCUACUUUUCAUGCCUUGAUUACUAGUUGCACAUCCCUCAUUCACUGUUGAGCCAGGGCCAGUAACCACUGAAAGUCUAAAACCAUUAAUCUUUACCAGAUAGAUAUAGCACAACUUGUUGCAAGUGUCCAUUCUCAGGUUACAUUAGCAUCAAAUCACACAGAUUCUAAGAGAGGUUGGCUCUGAUAUGUGGGAAGGUUUGGCAAUAUAGAGAAGGGUCAAAUAUAUCUGCUUUAGAAGUUCCCUUCCUGAACUCAAUGUGAUAAACUGAUAAUGAUCAGCCUUAAGAAAGCUUUAUGAAGCCCAUGUGAGUCAGACAAGUUUUCUGGAAUCUCUAUAAGUUUGUAUAUUGCAGACAUGCAAGUCAUUGGGGGGAGACGGGGAGAUCAUGCAGUGAUGUGUUGGGAUCGGAGACAGGGUAGACUGAGAAGGGGGUGAGUUUCAGUCUUUCCCGGCUUUCAAAGUUGCAGUAACUUUGAAUGUUGAGGUCCCUUGCCUGUAAGUUCCUGUAGAAUUAGAUAGUUUGAUCCUGGUGGGAACAUAGGGUUUUCGUCAUUUGUAAUGUAACUCUACUCUGAAUUAAUCACUGAAAAUAAGAGGUUCUUAUUUUAGUUUUCUAGCUUCUUUCUUUGAAUGGUUGUUGUUGUGAUCAAGAAUUUUACUAUUUAUUGUCUUAAAAAAGUUUUCAUCAGUCAAUGACUAUCGCUUUUAGUUAUAUUCUACUGUGCAGUUUGUUCGACUUAUUUCUUGACAAUGCUAAGUGCUAAUUAUCAAUAAGGUCGCAGCAACAAUAAGGUCAACCCCUUCUUUGAUGUUUUAAUUCGACCUUGGCUUAGUUACAUAGGCACAAUAGGCAUUUGAAUUUUGAGGUCUUUUUUCGGGUGAGAAUCAUAGUAGGGAGUUUAUUUGUGAUUCGUAGACAAGCUUUUGGAAAAUGAAAAAAAAUGAUCAACAUUUAUUAACAUAAUGUACUCUAGGUGUGAAUAUCAGACACCAGACAUGGGACUUGGGACUAUGCUUUAGCUGGGGUAAUUGGUGAUAAAUAGUGCUUUUGCAUGGCAUUACUUUCCCUCGUGGUGCCUUCUUAGGUAGAUUGUUCCUUACAUCAAGUUAUGUGUAUCCUACUGUUUAGUUACUUCGACUCUUUAAUGUUGCCUGAAUAGAUACGAAUGCUGAACCGCAAGGAUGUCAUAGCAAAACAUUACCUUAUCUGUGUUCAAUAUCAUAGCAAAGAUCUCGAAAUGAAUGAGCACCUAAGUGUUCUUAUUACUCAUGUAAUUUAUUUUGAUUAUCACAUGUCAAGUGUCUGGUGUUACGUUCGUGCACUAGUUAUCACUUGGAUCUAUGGUGGUACCUGAGUAUAUGGCUAUACUGAGUACUGCAUCCGUCUUAUGUUUUUCUGAAUUUCGUAUCCCUAGUUUUGCACCAGUGCACUGAGAUUCCUUUUCAUACCUUGUUCUAUAUCUUAUGUCAAGGUUAAAUGGUAGAUAUGUCUGCAUUCGAGGUAAUGGUGGUAGUUUUUUUUUGUAAUGCUAUUUUGAGUUUAUGCUGAACAGGUUUGGUUUUCUUCAGGUGGUGUGCACAGAAGGGCCAGAGAGAAUUAGAGAAUUGAUUGCAAUGGGUGCAUCCUUUGAUCUUCAUUAUUUUACUUUUGGUCUGAAUUGUGUACUUAAUAUAAAUUAUUAGAAAUACAAUGAUUGUUUCCCAUAUUGUAAGAUUUAUAAUGGUUAUUGUCCUUAUGUUUAAGCCUUAUCUAGUAAAAUGGAAUCAAGGUUGGAUUUGUUAGAUGAUCUUCUGGAGGCUAUCAUUGACAAGACUUUUGCUAAUGACGAUGCUGGAAAAGAUGGUAAAAUUUAAGGAAGAGUGGAAGGCUUAUAUCCGUCGUAAUCCCAACCAACAUGAAUCUUCCUUAUCUCAAAUUAAUGAUGAUUCAGGUGGCAAAGGUAACAAUUAGAUCAAGAUAUUGAAGAUUCGAUCUCAAUCACGGGGAUUUAUGAACGAACAUUGUUUUUAUGUUAAAGGAACAAAAUAAGUUAUUUUUAUUUCUAGUGUGAUUUGAUAAGACAAAAAUUUGAUGUAUGGAUAUAUAAUACCUAUCCUAAGUUAUUUUGGUAUGUUCUUAACUA